AGACGGAGGGAGCAAGCGUUGCCCGGAAUCACUGGGCGUAAAGGGCGUGUAGGCGGGACAGCAAGUCGGGUGUGAAAGCCCUGGGCUCAACCUAGGAAGGGCAUUCGAUACUACUGUUCUUGAGUAUGACAGAGGAAAGCGGAAUUCCCGGUGUAGCGGUGAAAUGCGUAGAUAUCGGGAAGAACACCUGUGGCGAAGGCGGCUUUCUGGGUCACAACUGCCGCUGAGACGCGAAAGCGUGGGUAGCGAACCGAAUUAGAAACCCGGGUAGUCC
rnacentral:rRNA from 1 species